GACGAACGCUGGCGGCGUGCUUAACACAUGCAAGUCGAACGCUGAAGCCCAGCUUGCUGGGUGGAUGAGUGGCGAACGGGUGAGUAACACGUGAGUAACCUGCCCCCUUCUUUGGGAUAACGCCCGGAAACGGGUGCUAAUACUGGAUAUUCACUGAUCCUCGCAUGGGGGUUGGUGGAAAGGUUUUUUCUGGUGGGGGAUGGGCUCGCGGCCUAUCAGCUUGUUGGUGGGGUGAUGGCCUACCAAGGCUUUGACGGGUAGCCGGCCUGAGAGGGUGACCGGUCACAUUGGGACUGAGAUACGGCCCAGACUCCUACGGGAGGCAGCAGUGGGGAAUAUUGCACAAUGGGCGAAAGCCUGAUGCAGCGACGCCGCGUGAGGGAUGACGGCCUUCGGGUUGUAAACCUCUUUCGCUCAUGGUCAAGCCGCAGCUUUGGGUUGUGGUGAGGGUAGUGGGUAAAGAAGCGCCGGCUAACUACGUGCCAGCAGCCGCGGUAAUACGUAGGGCGCGAGCGUUGUCCGGAAUUAUUGGGCGUAAAGGGCUUGUAGGCGGUUGGUCGCGUCUGCCGUGAAAUCCUCUGGCUUAACUGGGGGCGUGCGGUGGGUACGGGCUGACUUGAGUGCGGUAGGGGAGACUGGAACUCCUGGUGUAGCGGUGGAAUGCGCAGAUAUCAGGAAAGAACACCGGUGGCGAAGGCGGGUCUCUGGGGCCGUUACUGACGCUGAGGGAGCGAAAGCGUGGGGGAGCGAACAGGAUUAAGAUACCCUGGUAGUCCAAGGGCGAAUUCCACAGUGGAUAUCAAGCUUAUCGAUACCCUCGACCAAAAAGAGUAGAACCCAGUACCCACUUUUGUUCCCUUAGUGAGGUUAAUUAA
rnacentral:rRNA from 1 species